rnacentral:rRNA from 1 species
UACGUAGGGGGCCAGCGUUGUCCGGAAUCAUUGGGCGUAAAGAGCGUGUAGGCGGCCAUGUAGGUCCGAUGUGAAAACUCGAGGCUCAACCUCGAGCUGUCAUUGGAAACCAUGUGGCUAGAGUCCGGAAGAGGAGAGUGGAAUUCCUGGUGUAGCGGUGAAAUGCGCAGAUAUCAGGAAGAACACCUAUGGCGAAGGCAGCUCUCUGGGACGGUACUGACGCUGAGACGCGAAAGCGUGGGGAGCGAACAGG